rnacentral:rRNA from 1 species
AUUGAACGCUGGCGGCAGGCUUAACACAUGCAAGUCGAGCGGAGAUGAGGUGCUUGCACCUUAUCUUAGCGGCGGACGGGUGAGUAAUGCUUAGGAAUCUGCCUAUUAGUGGGGGACAACAUUCCGAAAGGAAUGCUAAUACCGAAUACGCCCUACGAGGGAAAGCAGGGGAUCUUCGGACCUUGCGCUAAUAGAUGAGCCUAAGUCGGAUUAGCUAGUUGGUGGGGUAAAGGCCUACCAAGGCGACGAUCUGUAGCGGGUCUGAGAGGAUGGUCCGCCACACUGGGACUGAGACACGGCCCAGACUCCUACGGGAGGCAGCAGUGGGGAAUAUUGGACAAUGGGCGGAAGCCUGAUCCAGCCAUGCCGCGUGUGUGAAGAAGGCCUUUUGGUUGUAAAGCACUUUAAGCGAGGAGGAGGCUACCUGGAUUAAUACUCUAGGAUAGUGGACGUUACUCGCAGAAUAAGCACCGGCUAACUCUGUGCCAGCCGCCGCCGUAAUAC